UUGCUUUUCCUGAUGACGAGUGGCGGACGGGUGAGUAAAGUUUGGGAAGCUACCUGAUAGAGGGGGACAACAGUUGGAAACGACUGCUAAUACCGCAUACAGCCUGAGGGUGAAAGCAGCAAUGCGCUAUCAGAUGCGCCCAAAUGGGAUUAGCUAGUAGGUGAGGUAAAGGCUCACCUAGGCGACGAUCUCUAGCUGGUCUGAGAGGAUGAUCAGCCACAUUGGGACUGAGACACGGCCCAGACUCCUACGGGAGGCAGCAGUAGGGAAUAUUGCACAAUGGAGGAAACUCUGAUGCAGCCAUGCCGCGUGUGUGAAGAAGGCCUUCGGGUUGUAAAGCACUUUCGGAGGGGAGGAGAAUGACGUUACCCUCAGAAGAAGCACCGGCUAACUCCGUGCCAGCAGCCGCGGUAAUACGGAGGGUGCAAGCGUUAAUCGGAAUAACUGGGCGUAAAGGGCAUGCAGGCGGUUAAACAAGUAGGAUGUGAAAUCCCCGGGCUCAACCUGGGAGCUGCAUACUAAACUGUUUAACUAGAGUAUUGCAGGGGGAGACGGAAUUCCAGGUGUAGCGGUGGAAUGCGUAGAUAUCUGGAAGAACACCAAAGGCGAAGGCAGUCUCCUGGGCAAAUACUGACGCUCAUAUGCGAAAGCGUGGGUAGCAAACAGGAUUAGAUACCCUGGUAGUCCACGCCGUAAACGAUGUCAAUUAGGAGCUUGUGCGAUAGUAUGGGUUCCGCAGCAAACGCGAUAAAUUGACCGCCUGGGGAGUACGGCCGCAAGGUUAAAACUCAAAUGAAUUGACGGGGGCCCGCACAAGCGGUGGAGCAUGUGGUUUAAUUCGACGCAACGCGAAGAACCUUACCUGACCUUGACAUAGUGAGAACCUCUCUGAAGGGAGAGGGUGCCUUCGGGAGCUCACAUACAGGUGCUGCAUGGC
rnacentral:rRNA from 1 species